rfam:Thiomicrospira crunogena XCL-2, complete genome.
UUAAUCCUAGAAAUGAGUAUAAUCGCUCGUUUUUCGGUAGAUGGAUAGUUAAGGAGCGCAAAAUGGCUCGUAUUGCCGGCGUAAACAUUCCAGUA